rnacentral:tRNA from 1 species
CAUUCAAAGAUAACUUUAUCUCCUUUACAUCUUCAGUGUAACACUCUAAAUUAUAAGCUAUUUGAAU